UUCAUUUUGGAAGCAUAUUACUAAACGGAGGAAAAGAAACUAACAAGGAUUUCCCUAAUAGUGGUGAACAAAAUAGAAAAAGCCCAACUUGGAAAUCAAUGUGUUUUGUACACUGAAUUGUAGUCUAGAGAAGGGUCCUUUGUAGUAGACCGGGUUUAAGUCCCUUGGAACGGGACGCCAGAAAGGGUGAGAGCCCUGUCUAGCCUGGACCCUGCUGCAUCACGAGGCUCUUUCAGCAAGUUAGGCUGUUUGGGAAUGCAGCCUUAAGUGGGUGGUAAAUUCCAUCCAAGGUUAAAUACUGGUUGAGCCUUUUACUGGAAAG
rnacentral:ncRNA from 1 species